rnacentral:misc_RNA from 1 species
GAUGAAGAAUGCAGCGAAAUGCGAUAAGUAAUGUGAAUUGCAGAAUUCAGUGAAUCAUCGAGUCUUUGAACGCACAUUGCGCCCCCUGGUAUUCCGGGGGGCAUGCCUGUCCGAGCGUCAUUGCUGCCCUCAAGCACGGCUUGUGUGUUGGGCCCCCGUCCCCGGUUUCCCCCGGGGACGGGCCCGAAAGGCAGCGGCGGCACCGCGUCCGGUCCUCGAGCGUAUGGGGCUUUGUCACCCGCUCUGUAGGCCCGGCCGGCGCCAGCCGACACCCAACUUUAUUUCUAAGGUUGACCUCGGAUCAGGUAGGGAUACCCGCUGAACUUAAGCAUAUCAAUAAGCGGAGGA